GUUUCCACAGUGUAGUGGUUAUUACGUGUGCCUUAUUUGUAAAAGCUCCCUAGUUCGAAACUGGGCGGAAACA
rnacentral:tRNA from 1 species